ensembl:ncRNA lncRNA:CR45241 long non-coding RNA:CR45241
AUCUCUCUAAAUUGCCUUAUUCCGUAACUCCGUUUAAUAUCUAACCAAACAAUAAAAAACAAACAGCUAGCAAUUGUGAUUCACUUGUUUUCCCACCUCUCGAUCGCAUGGCCAACAUGCUAUCAUUCAACUUCAACCUGCUGCUCGUCCAUCAUCCAACGUACACCACCCAUGAACCGCAGACGUGCUCCGCUCCCACUGAUAUAUCCAUCCACCCACAUCCACAUCCACCCCCGUUUACCCAUCGUUCCUUAAUCAAAUGCUUGUCAACAUUGCAGCCAAAACAAUAACAAUUGCAAAAUUAAGCGCCUCGCGUUUAUCUGCCUUCUGUGUUGUCGAAUUAGACAAAUAACACCCAAGUGGGGGGAGUCAGUUGGGGAGGUAAGU